rnacentral:lncRNA from 1 species
ACAUUUUUUCUUGUCCUCUUCCCUCUUGUGGGAAUAAAGCGUCUCCACCAGGUGAUUCGGAAGCAGCUUGUGGAGGUUAGACAGCACCUCAAAGGUGUGACACAGAACUUCUGGCUGGGCAUAGUUUUUCGGCUUCUUACACUUGUCAAGGAGUGAAAAUUUCAUCACGCUGGAGCUGCUGCUGGCUGUUCUCAUGAUGCUGGUUGUAUCACAGAGAAGAACAAACUGAGAACAUGAGGAGUGGAUGGGGUGUGCAGUUGUUCUGGCAAGCUUUCCUCCAUCUCCAAGAUGAAGUGGAACCAGCUUUCUGAUCUCUUAUUGCCUGGCAUUCUGAGAGUCACAAUGGCCCAGGUAUUGGUCCGGAACCCUGCAUGUUCAUCCUGCAUUUUCCAAGCAGAGAAAACCAGCCCGUUGAAAAUAUCCUGCCAAGUCAUUUGGGGAUUUGUGGCAGAAACUCCAGUCUUGUGUCUGGACAUGGACCAUUUCUGGGGAAAACUGAGAGCUUUGCUAAAAGGAAGAGGGGAAAGCGGGGGCGCAUGUAUCCAGUGAUAUUUUCCCAUCUGGUACUUUGUAGAAGCCUUGCUCCCAGUAUGUACCUAAUUAAGGCUCCACAGACCUACGAGGCCCCAAGAGAGAGUGGUUACAUCAGUGCAGUCCUCAGCAGAACUGAGGAAAGAGCUUCAUCGUCCAAAACUGAGGAAAUGCCCAGAUUAACACAGGUGUUUUUGGUGGGAAGAAGGGGGUAGAAUAUUCUGGCAGCCGGAAGACAUAUCCCC